rnacentral:rRNA from 1 species
UGCCAGCCGCCGCGGUAACACGUGGGGGGCAAGCGUUGUCCGGAUUUAUUGGGCGUAAAGGGCUCGUAGGCGGCUUGACAAGUCGGGCGUGAAAGCCCGGGGCUUAACCCCGGGAUGCCGUUCGAAACUGUCAUGGCCAGUUUCCGGUAGAGGUGAGUGGAAUUCUCGGUGUAGCGGUGAAAUGCGCAGAUAUCGAGAGGAACACCAGUAGCGAAGGCGGCUCACUGGGCCGGUAAAGACGCUGAGGAGCGAAAGCGUGGGGAGCAAACAGGAUUAGAUA